rnacentral:rRNA from 1 species
UACGGAAGGCAGCAGUGGGGAAUAUUGCACAAUGGGCGCAAGCCUGAUGCAGCCAUGCCGCGUGUAUGAAAAAGGCCUUCGGGUUGUAAAGUACUUUCAGUCGUGAGGAAGGUGUUAAGGUUAAUAACCUUAGCAAUUGACGUUAGCGACAGAAGAAGCACCGGCUAACUCCGUGCCAGCAGCCGCGGUAAUACGGAGGGUGCGAGCGUUAAUCGGAAUUACUGGGCGUAAAGGGCACGCAGGCGGUUAAUUAAGUUGGAUGUGAAAUCCCCGGGCUUAACCUGGGAAUGGCAUUCAAGACUGGUUAGCUAGAGUCUUGUAGAGGGGGUAGAAUUCCAUGUGUAGCGGUGAAAUGCGUAGAGAUGUGGAGGAAUACCGGUGGCGAAAGGCGGCCCCCUGGACAAAGACUGACGCUCAUGUGCGAAAGCGUGGGGAGGCAAACAGGGAUUAGAUACC